UUUCACAGUGGUCUGUGUAAGACCCCCUUUCGGGGACCCCCACUCUAGUCUUGGGAGUGUGAGAGCACCCAAAGAAACACGAGGACCC
rnacentral:pre_miRNA from 7 species